CACUCCUGCGGGAGGCAGCAGUGGGGAAUAUUGCACAAUGGGCGCAAGCCUGAUGCAGCCAUGCCGCGUGUAUGAAGAAGGCCUUCGGGUUGUAAAGUACUUUCAGCGGGGAGGAAGGCGAUAAGGUUAAUAACCUUGUCGAUUGACGUUACCCGCAGAAGAAGCACCGGCUAACUCCGUGCCAGCAGCCGCGGUAAUACGGAGGGUGCAAGCGUUAAUCGGAAUUACUGGGCGUAAAGCGCACGCAGGCGGUCUGUCAAGUCGGAUGUGAAAUCCCCGGGCUCAACCUGGGAACUGCAUUCGAAACUGGCAGGCUAGAGUCUUGUAGAGGGGGGUAGAAUUCCAGGUGUAGCGGUGAAAUGCGUAGAGAUCUGGAGGAAUACCGGUGGCGAAGGCGGCCCCCUGGACAAAGACUGACGCUCAGGUGCGAAAGCGUGGGGAGCAAACAGGAUUAGAAACCCGAGUAGUCCCAUGA
rnacentral:rRNA from 1 species